UCCCUGGUGGUCCAAUGGCUAGGACUCUGCUCUCCCAAUGCAGGGGGUCUGGGUUCAAUCCUCGGUCAGGAAA
rfam:Ovis aries breed Texel chromosome 6, whole genome shotgun sequence.